UGCCUACGGGGCGCAGCAGUGGGGAAUAUUGCACAAUGGGGGAAACCCUGAUGCAGCGACGCCGCGUGAGCGAUGAAGUAUUUCGGUAUGUAAAGCUCUAUCAGCAGGGAAGAAAAUGACGGUACCUGACUAAGAAGCCCCGGCUAACUACGUGCCAGCAGCCGCGGUAAUACGUAGGGGGCAAGCGUUAUCCGGAUUUACUGGGUGUAAAGGGAGCGUAGACGGCCAUUCAAGCUAGAUGUGAAAGCCCGGGGCUCAACCCCGGGACUGCACUUGGAACUGUGUGGCUAGAGU
rnacentral:rRNA from 1 species